GAUUGUUGGCUUCUUUCCAAAGAAAAUUUGUAUUGAAUUUUUUCAUUCAUUACAAAUUUUGAAAAUGUUAUAAAAUCAGCGCAACUUCCAUGGUAUUUUGAAAAAUCGCUGCUAAUCAAUACGGAUUUCAGUCACUUUCACUUCACUAGAAGAUCGAACAUCAAUAGGAUUUGGGCUCCAUCGUUACAUUCAAUCAAACGAACUUAGCAAAUAUUACUUUGGAAUAGAUCUAAAAAAACUGCUUUCCACCAUUGAGAUUAGUCAUGUCAUUGAUCUCAAGUAACAAUGACAGCUUGUUCUUGAAGAAUAGUGG